GUGCUUGUUGUAUUAGUGUUCUCGAGGAAAACGAGUGGUGAGGCGUACGAACGCUUGCGGUUUUCAUCGUCUUUGUGCUAGAAAGCGAGGAUUAUUUUUGCUUCAGUUGACACCAUCAGGUAGCCACUGCUUUGCCGGUGCGGCGAACGGAUGGGAUACGCAGGACCUCCAGACAUCUGUUGUCUAUGGCCGGCUGAAUGGGAGGCUGCUACUCCAAGAAAUCUGGUCAGCUAGCGGAAGCCUAUACCCAUCCUGCUCGACACGGAUCUCCUGCUAGAGUACGAAAGAAGGCGGCCAUGAACCGGACGGCGCCGUACCCGCGCCAGGCCGGCCCGCCCGGCCACGCCUUCGGCUUCCGGCGGCGCGGCGCACCGGCCCGCGUUCUGCCCACCGACUCGGCGCCGCCGGCCCGCCGCACCGCCGCCGCCAC